rnacentral:rRNA from 1 species
UACGUAGGCAGCGAGCGUUGUUCGGAAUUACUGGGCGUAAAGAGUGUGUAGGCGGUGCUCCCAGUCUGUUGUGAAAUCUCCCGGCUUAACUGGGAGGGUGCAGCGGAAACUAGAGUGCUAGAGGGUGGGAGAGGUAAGCGGAAUUCCUGGUGUAGCGGUGAAAUGCGUAGAUAUCAGGAGGAACACCGGUGGCGAAGGCGGGUCUCUGGGCCGAAAUUGACGCUGAGGAGCGAAAGCGUGGGGAGCAAACAGG